rnacentral:rRNA from 1 species
AUUGAACGCUGGCGGCAGGCCUAACACAUGCAAGUCGAGCGGGGCGGCAGACGGGUGAGUAAUGCCUAGGAAUCUGCCUGGUAGUGGGCGAUAACGUCCGGAAACGGGCGCCAAUACCGCAUACUAUCAGAUGAGCCUAGGUCGGAUUCGCUAGUGGGUGGGUGAAAGGCCUACCAAGUCGACGAUCCGGAACUGGUCUGAGAGUGUGAUCAGUCAAACUGGAACGGAGACACGGUCCGAACGACUUGGGGCUGCAGCAGUGGGGAAUAUUCGACAAUGGAGGAAAGCCGGUUCCGACAAUGCCGCGUGUGUGUAGAAGGUCUUCGGAUUGUAAAGCACUUUAAGUUGGGAGGCGUUACCAACAGAGUAAGCAACGGCUAACUUCGUGCCAGCAGCCGCGGUAAUUC